rnacentral:rRNA from 1 species
UUAAGCAUAUCAAUAAGCGGAGGAAAAGAAACUAACAAGGAUUCCCCUAGUAACUGCGAGUGAAGCGGGAAGAGCUCAAAUUUUGAAUCUGGCAGCCUUUAGGCUGUCCGAGUUGUAAUCUAGAGAAGCGCUUUCCGCGCUGGACCGUGUACAAGUCUCCUGGAACGGAGCAUCAUAGAGGGUGAGAAUCCCGUCUCUGACACGGACUGCCAGUGCUUUGUGAUGCGCUCUCGACGAGUCGAGUUGUUUGGGAAUGCAGCUCUAAUUGGGUGGUAAAUUCCAUCUAAAGCUAAAUACAGGCGAGAGACCGAUAGCGAACAAGUACCGUGAGGGAAAGAUGAAAAGAACUUUGGAAAGAGAGUUAAACAGUACGUGAAAUUGCUGAAAGGGAAACGCUUGAAGUCAGUCACGUUGGCUGGGGAUCAGCCUGGCUCUUUUGCUUGGUGCAUUUCCUAGUUUGACGGGUCAGCAUCAAUUUCGAUUGCUGGACAAGGUCGGGGGGAAUGUGGCAUCUUUCGGGAUGUGUUAUAGCCCUCUGUCGCAUACGGUGGUCGGGAUUGAGGGAAAACUCAGCACGACCUCAAGGGGUUUGGGGCUUCGGCUCACAUUUGCGUGCUUAGGAUGUUGGC